UCCUGACUCGUAUCUCUUCAUCUACACAGACUCUUGCUGAUUUCAAAGGAAAGCCCCAGGGUGGGAGCGUGGAUACUGCAGGAGGGUGCUGGUCUUAAUCAUCUGAGAAUGAGAUCUUACCUUCCUGCCUUACCCUUCUAGAAAAAAGGGCAGAUUCAGAAAUCAAGAGCCCCUCCGUUAAGUUUUGAGAAAUGUUAUCAUGAAAAUGAAGCAUAUCGGCCAAAGGAAAUUAAAUCCAUCUUGGCUCCCCACUACCAGUACUGCCAAAUGCUUGUUCAGGGAGUAACAGUACAUAGAUAUCUGAUUAGAAUCAAUCUGAUGUGAUCCAGGGAAGGCGGAGUAAAUCACUCCCUACAGUAAGUGACCUUGUUGAUCCCCUACUAAAGACGUGGAAGAAAGAGCCGGCAGGCGUCUGAGGAAUUGUGGCCAUCAUUUCCAGCUACAUGGAGGGCCUAUACACCAGAACUCCCGGAGGGCCUUUUACAUUUUGGUGUGGGCCAUUGUUCCCUUUCCCUCUUGCCCUCAGCCCCAGGGGUAUGACACAUUGUAGGGCUCACUGUCCAUGAGUCUGAACAUCAGCACCAACAGCGGGAGCAGCAGGGGAGAGAGGGCCUUCAUGCAAGGAGAGCACGCCACCACCUCAUGCCCCAGCUUCUACACCUGUUACCCACUGUUCCAUCUUUAGGAGGCUGACUCCACCUGGUAUUUCUACCAGAUCUAAAUGAUCACAUCAGGGAUCCAGGCACAAGUUGUCAGGACACAGGAAGUAACCACACAAUAUUUGUGCAGCCCUUUGCAGUCUACAAAG
rnacentral:lncRNA from 10 species